rnacentral:rRNA from 1 species
UACGUAGGGGGCGAGCGUUGUCCGGAAUCAUUGGGCGUAAAGCGCGUGUAGGCGGCCCGGUAAGUCCGCUGUGAAAGUCCAGGGCUCAACCCUGGGAUGCCGGUGGAUACUGUCGGGCUCGAGUCCGGAAGAGGCGAGUGGAAUUCCUGGUGUAGCGGUGAAAUGCGCAGAUAUCAGGAGGAACACCAGCGGCGAAGGCGGCGCUCUGGGCCGGUACUGACACUGAGGAGCGAAAGCGUGGGGAGCGAACAGG